UGGGGAAUAUUGCACAAUGGGCGCAAGCCUGAUGCAGCCAUGCCGCGUGAGUGAAGAAGGCCUUAGGGUUGUAAAACUCUUUCACCGGUGAAGAUAAUGACGGUAGCCGGAGAAGAAGCCCCGGCCAACUCCGUGCCAGCAGCCGCGGUAAUACGGAGGGUGCGAGCGUUAAUCGGAAUUACUGGGCGUAAAGCGCGCGUAGGCGGUUUGGUAAGUCGGAUGUGAAAGCCCCGGGCUUAACCUGGGAAUUGCAUUCGAUACUGCCUGACUAGAGUAUGGUAGAGGGAAGUGGAAUUUCCGGUGUAGCGGUGAAAUGCGUAGAUAUCGGAAGGAACACCAGUGGCGAAGGCGACUUCCUGGGCCAAUACUGACGCUGAGGUGCGAAAGCGUGGGGAGCAAACAGGAUUAGAUACCCCGGUAGUCC
rnacentral:rRNA from 1 species